GAUGAAGAACGUAGUGAAAUGCGAUACUUGGUGUGAAUUGCAGAAUCCCGUGAACCAUCGAGUCUUUGAACGCAAGUUGCGCCCGAGGCCUCCUGGUCGAGGGCACGUCUGCCUGGGUGUCACGCAUCGUCGCCCCCGCUCCCCUCGGCUCACGAGGGCGGGGGCGGAUACUGGUCUCCCGCGCGCUCCCGCUCGCGGCUGGCCCAAAAUCGAGUCCCCGGCGACGGUCGCUACGACGAGCGGUGGUUGAGAGACCCUCGGACACUGUCGUGCGCGCGCCCGUCGCCCCCGGGAUCUCCUGGACCCUCGGGCAUCGACCUUUCUAGGAUGCUCUCGUUGCGACCCCAGGUCAGGCGGGACUACCCGCUGAGUUUAAGCAUAUCAAUAAGCGGAGGA
rnacentral:misc_RNA from 1 species